GGAGACACCAGGUCAGUGGCUGAUCAGUCUUCAAAACCGAUGGUCCCGAGCACCUCGGGACGGCGGGUUCGAUUCCCGCUCGCCUCCGCCA
rnacentral:tRNA from 1 species